UACUCCUACGGGACGCAGCAGUGGGGAAUAUUGCACAAUGGGGGAAACCCUGAUGCAGCGACGCCGCGUGAGUGAAGAAGUAUUUCGGUACGUAAAGCUCUAUCAGCAGGGAAGAAAAACCGGCCUUAGGGCCGCCAGACGGUACCUGACUAAGAAGCCCCGGCUAACUACGUGCCAGCAGCCGCGGUAAUACGUAGGUGGCGAGCGUUAUCCGGAAUGAUUGGGCGUAAAGGGUGCGUAGGCGGCCUGCUAAGUCUGAGUGAAAGGUACCGGCUCAACCGGUACAGGCUCUGGCAACUGGCGGG
rnacentral:rRNA from 1 species